CCUACGGGGGGCAGCAGUGGGGAAUAUUGGACAAUGGGGGGAACCCUGAUCCAGCCAUGCCGCGUGUGUGAAGAAGGCCCUCGGGUUGUAAAGCACUUUCAGUGAGGAAGAACGCCUGGUGGUUAAUACCCAUCAGGAAAGACAUCACUCACAGAAGAAGCACCGGCUAACUCCGUGCCAGCAGCCGCGGUAAUACGGAGGGUGCGAGCGUUAAUCGGAAUUACUGGGCGUAAAGCGCGCGUAGGUGGCUUGAUAAGCCGGUUGUGAAAGCCCCGGGCUCAACCUGGGAACGGCAUCCGGAACUGUCAAGCUAGAGGGCAGGAGAGGAAGGUAGAAUUCCCGGUGUAGCGGUGAAAUGCGUAGAGAUCGGGAGGAAUACCAGUGGCGAAGGCGGCCUUCUGGACUGACACUGCCACUGAGGUGCGAAAGCGUGGGUAGCAAACAGGAUUAGAUACCCUGGUAGUA
rnacentral:rRNA from 1 species